rnacentral:rRNA from 1 species
UACGUAGGGUGCUAGCGUUGUCCGGAAUCAUUGGGCGUAAAGCGCGUGUAGGCGGUCCGGUAAGUCCGCUGUGAAAGUCGGGGGCUCAACCCUCGGAUGCCGGUGGAUACUGUCGGGCUUGAGUACGGAAGAGGCGAGUGGAAUUCCUGGUGUAGCGGUGAAAUGCGCAGAUAUCGGGAGGAACACCAGUAGCGAAGGCGGCUCGCUGGGCCAUUCCUGACGCUGAGACGCGAAAGCUAGGGGAGCGAACAGG